rnacentral:rRNA from 1 species
UACGUAGGGUGCGAGCGUUAAUCGGAUUUACUGGGCGUAAAGGGGGCGUAGGCGGCCCGGCAAGUCAAGUGUGAAAUCCGGCGGCUCAACCGCUGGGCUGCGCUUGAAACUGCCGGGCUUGAGUGCAGCAGAGGGAGACGGAAUUGCCGGUGUAGGGGUGAAAUGCGUAGAGAUCAGGAGGAACACCGAUGGCGAAGGCAGCCCCCUGGGCCUGUACUGACGCUCAUGCACGAAAGCGUGGGGAGCAAACAGG